GCAUAUCAAUAAGCGGAGGAAAAGAAACUAACAAGGAUUCCCUCAGUAACUGCGAGUGAAGCGGGAAGAGCUCAAAUUUAAAAUCUGGUAGUCUUUUAGCUACCCGAGUUGUAAUCUAGAGAAGUGUUAUCCGCACUGGACCCAUGCGUAAGUCUCCUGGAAUGGAGCUUCAGAGAGGGUGAGAAUCCCGUGUGUAGCAUGGACUCCCAAUGCUUUUGUGAUACGCUCUCAAAGAGUCGAGUUGUUUGGGAAUGCAGCUCUAAAUGGGUGGUAAAUUCCAUCUAAAGCUAAAUAUUGGCGAGAGACCGAUAGUGAACAAGUACCGUGAGGGAAAGAUGAAAAGAACUUUGGAAAGAGAGUUAAACAGUACGUGAAAUUGUUGAAAGGGAAACGCUUGAAGUCAGUCUUGUCAUCUGGAAAUCAACCUUGCUUCUUUGCUUGGUGUAUUCUCCAGCUGAUAGGUCAGCAUCAAUUUUGACCAGUGGAGAAAAGUCAAGGGAAUGUAGCAUCUCUGGAUGUGCUUUAUAGCUCCUGGCUAUAUACAUUGGUUGGGAUUGAGGAACUCAGCAUGCCAUUAUAUAUGGUUGGGUUUUUUUUUUAAAACCACAUUCGUGCUUAGGAUGCUGGCAAUAAUGGCUUUAAUCGACCCGUCUUGAAACACGGAC
rnacentral:rRNA from 1 species